CCAAUCCCUUCCUCUCCUGUCUUCUGUCAUCCAAUCAGAAGUCUCUCUCUUCUCUCUCUGCAACACAGAGAACGCCACCUCGGGCGAACCAAAAAACCAUCAAACCACCAUUUUCAUCCUCUCGACGUCACGAGCUCGAACCCGAGCUCCGUUUAGUAAGGAAUUGUGCACAGAAGCCCCAAUUCGGAGCUCCGAAUCGGACUAAGCUUUCCGACGGCCUACGGUGGUUUCCCGACGAAGGACCUAACAGACUUCUUCUUGGAUAAGGACUGUGAACUGAUAUAACAAACUGAAGAGUUUGCAUCCGAACUGGAAAUCUGACUCGGUCUAACAAAGAGUGUGAUCGAAGGAGGAAGACACCCCUGCAAUUCCCGUGAGUUUUGUCUGAUUCAAAUCCAAAGGCCAGAAUGCAAAAUUCUGACAUGCAACCUGAAGAAGCAGUGAGUCGCAUAUGGAGGAGUAAGUCUUUGGAUCAAGAAUACUGGAAGAAAAUAUUCAUGGUGGUGUGUUUGUGCGCUGUUCCAGUUGAUGCAUUGUUCCUCUACAUUCCCAUUCUGAAGGAUGAUGUCAAAUGCCUUAUGUUAGACUCAAAGCUGAAGAUAGCCGUUCUUCUUUUAAGAUCAAUCAUAGAUUUUUUCCAUUUAAUGGACAUUAUUAUUCGAAUUUAUAGAUCUGAGAAAUAUUCUGGUUUAAUCAAUGAACCUAACCACAGACAAAACCAGAGGAAUUUCAGUUUCUUAUUGAAAUUUUGCGUGCGAAGAAUAGCCAAGGCAAUAUGGUUGUCAAAAGAUAUCUUAAUUGACAUUGUAGCUCUUCUUCCCCUUCCACAGGUAAGAAAUUAAAUCCUUUUGGUGGAGUAAUUGUUUUCCCUAUUUGCUUUGCGUGUGGUCGAAGCGGAUAUUUUAGUGUUAAAUGCACAAAAGUGACAUACUGUGAGUCUCAUAUACACUUGGUUAGCUCGAGUGUGAUCCAUUGAUUUGCUCAUGAUAUUAUCAGAUUUUGAUUCUUGAUACUACUAAUGUAUAUCCACUAUCCAGGUGGCAAUUCUCAUUUUAUUCUCAAAAAUGAAUGACUUGAGAUAUUUGACUACAACAAGGAUGGUUUUUGUGAACAUUUUUGCUCUGUUGCAAUAUAUACCACGAGUUAUUCGCAUCUGCCUCUCAUCUAUGGAACUUAAAAGGAUUAUUGAAGAAGUUAAAGAGCCUUCAGUGUGGACAAAAGGUGUACUCAAUAUUUGUAUGUACAUUAUUGCUAGUCAUGUAAGUUUCGAUAUAUAUCCUUAUUUAUUUUUGUAUGUCAAAUCAAUUCUUAUUAUUCUUGAACCACGAGCUGGUGGUCCAGUGGUAAAUGAUGAAUUACGAGACUUCUUUAAAAAAUUAAAAACUGGAGGUCUCGGGUUCGAAACCCGAUGUUGGGGUGAAAGCCAAACUUGUGGCCAUGGAGAGGCUGAAAUGUCUUUGUAAGUCUUCUUGGCCCCCGGAAGGGAUGAAUAACCUUGACUGGCCACCAGUU